rnacentral:rRNA from 1 species
GGAUUAGAUACCCUGGUAGUCCACGCCGUAAACGAUGAUCACUAGAUGUCGGGCUUCUACGGAGGUUCGGUAUCGCAGCUAACGCACUAAGUGAUCCGCCUGGGGAGUACGGUCGCAAGACUAAAACUCAAAGAAAUUGACGGGGGUCCGCACAAGCGGUGGAACAUGUGGUUUAAUUCGACGCUACGCGAGGAACCUUACCUGGGUUUGACAUAGGGAGGACAAGUCUAGAGAUAGACUCUUUAGUUUACUAGGACCUUUUUACAGGUGCUGCAUGGCUGUCGUCAGCUCGUGCCG